AUUAAACGCUGGCGGCAUGCCUUACACAUGCAAGUCGAACGGCAGCACGGGGGCAACCCUGGUGGCGAGUGGCGAACGGGUGAGUAAAGCAUCGGAACGUGCCCUGGAGUGGGGGGAUAACGUAGCGAAAGUUACGCUAAUACCGCAUAUUCUGUGAGCAGGAAAGCAGGGGGAUCGCAAGACCUUGCGCUCUGGGAGCGGCCGAUGUCGGAUUAGCUAGUUGGUGGGGUAAAGGCCUACCAAGGCGACGAUCCGUAGCGGGUCUGAGAGGAUGAUCCGCCACACUGGGACUGAGACACGGCCCAGACUCCUACGGGAGGCAGCAGUGGGGAAUUUUGGACAAUGGGCGAAAGCCUGAUCCAGCCAUGCCGCGUGAGUGAAGAAGGCCUUCGGGUU
rnacentral:rRNA from 1 species